rnacentral:rRNA from 1 species
UACGUAGGGUGCAAGCGUUGUCCGGAAUUAUUGGGCGUAAAGAGCGCGCAGGCGGUCGUUCAAGUCGAGUGUGAAAGCCCCCGGCUCAACUGGGGAGGGUCACUCGAUACUGAUCGACUGGAAGGCAGGAGAGGGAAGCGGAAUUCCCGGUGUAGUGGUGAAAUGCGUAGAUAUCGGGAGGAACACCAGUGGCGAAGGCGGCUUCCUGGCCUGUUCUUGACGCUGAGGCGCGAAAGCUAGGGGAGCAAACGGG